rnacentral:rRNA from 1 species
CCUACGGGAGGCAGCAGUGGGGAAUCUUGCGCAAUGGGCGAAAGCCUGACGCAGCCAUGCCGCGUGAAUGAUGAAGGUCUUAGGAUUGUAAAAUUCUUUCACCGGGGACGAUAAUGACGGUACCCGGAGAAGAAGCCCCGGCUAACUUCGUGCCAGCAGCCGCGGUAAUACGAAGGGGGCUAGCGUUGCUCGGAAUUACUGGGCGUAAAGGGAGCGUAGGCGGAUAGUUUAGUCAGAGGUGAAAGCCCAGGGCUCAACCUUGGAAUUGCCUUUGAUACUGGCUAUCUUGAGUACGGAAGAGGUAUGUGGAACUCCGAGUGUAGAGGUGAAAUUCGUAGAUAUUCGGAAGAACACCAGUGGCGAAGGCGACAUACUGGUCCGUUACUGACGCUGAGGCUCGAAAGCGUGGGGAGCAAACAGGAUUAGAUACCCUGGUAGUCCACGCUGUAAACGAUGAGUGCUAGUUGUCGGCAUGCAUGCAUGUCGGUGACGCAGCUACGACAUUAAGUACACUCCGCCGUCGGGGUAGGUACGGUCGGCGAAGAUUAAACUUACAAUAGUAAGUUAGACGGCGUGAGACGUGCCGACGGACGACGACGAGGGAGGUUAGG